AACGCACGAGACCUGCGGACCUGCGGAGGGAUCAUUAGUGAACGCCCUCACGGGCUUAUAACUAUUCCAAACCUCUGUGAACCGUGCCCUUUGGGGCUAUUUUACAAACAUGGUGUAAUGAACGUCAUAUAUCAUAACAAAACAAAACUUUCAGCAACGGAUCUCU
rnacentral:misc_RNA from 1 species